UACGAAGGGGGCUAGCGUUGCUCGGAAUCACUGGGCGUAAAGGGUGCGUAGGCGGGUCUUUUAAGUCAGGGGUGAAAUCCUGGAGCUCAACUCCAGAACUGCCUUUGAUACUGAAGAUCUUGAGUUCGGGAGAGGUGAGUGGAGCUGCGAGUGUAGAGGUGAAAUUCGUAGAUAUUCGCAAGAACACCAGUGGCGAAGGCGGCUCACUGGCCCGAUACUGACGCUGAGGCACGAAAGCGUGGGGAGCAAACAGG
rnacentral:rRNA from 1 species